rnacentral:rRNA from 1 species
UACAGAGGUCCCGAGCGUUGUUCGGAUUCAUUGGGCGUAAAGGGUGCGUAGGCGGUUUCCUAAGUUUGAUGUGAAAGCCCCGGGCUCAACCUGGGAAUUGCAGUGGAUACUGGGAAGCUAGAGUGCGGUAGAGGGUAGUGGAAUUCCCGGUGUAGCGGUGAAAUGCGUAGAGAUCGGGAGGAACACCAGUGGCGAAGGCGGCUACCUGGACCAGCACUGACACUGAGGCGCGAAAGCGUGGGGAGCGAACAGG